rnacentral:misc_RNA from 1 species
GGAAGGAUCAUUAAUUACGCAAGCUAUAGCCCCUUUUGGGGUUAUUGCAUCCACCCUUUGUCUACAUGUACCUCUGUUGUUUCCUCGGCAGGCUUGCCUGCCGCCAGGAAUCCUUUAAACUCUUGUAUCUACAGUAUGAAAAUCUCUGAUAACUAUUUAAAUUAUUACAACUUUUAACAAUGGAUCUCUUGGUUCUGGCAUCGAUGAAGAACGCAGCGAAAUGCGAAAAGUAGUGUGAAUUGCAGAAUUCCGUGAAUCAUCGAAUCUUUGAACGCACAUUGCGCCCCUCGGUAUUCCGUGGGGCAUGCCUGUUCGAGCGUCAUUUACACCCUCAAGCUCUGCUUGGUGUUGGGCGUCUGUCCUGCUUUACGCGUGGACUCGCCCCAAAGUCAUUGGCAGCGGUCGUGCCAGCUUCUCGCGCAGCACAUUUGCGUUUCUUGAAGUCUGGUGGAUCAGCAUCCAGUAAGCUCUUUCAUGACUUGACCUCGGAUCAGGUAGGGAUACCCGCUGAACUUAAGCAUAUCAAUAAGCGGAGGAAAAGAAACCAACAGGGAUUGCCCUAGUAACGGCGAGUGAAGCGGCAAUAGCUCAAAUUUGAAAUCUGGCUCCUUUUAGGGGUCCGAGUUGUAAUUUGCAGAGGGUGCUUUGGCGUUGGUAGCGGUCUAAGUUCCUUGGAACAGGACAUCGCAGAGGGUGAGAAUCCCGUUUGUGGUCGCAUGCCUUCGCCGUGUAAAGCCCCUUCGACGAGUCGAGUUGUUUGGGAAUGCAGCUCUAAAUGGGAGGUAAAUUUCUUCUAAAGCUAAAUACUGGCCAGAGACCGAUAGCGCACAAGUAGAGUGAUCGAAAGAUGAAAAGCACUUUGGAAAGAGAGUCAAACAGCACGUGAAAUUGUUGAAAGGGAAGCGCUUGCAGCCAGACUUGCCCGUAGUUGCUCACCUAGGCUUUUGCCUGGGGCAUUCUUCUGCGGGCAGGCCAGCAUCAGUUUAGGCGGUCGGAUAAAGGUCUCUGUCAUGUAGCUUCCUUCGGGAAGAACUUAUAGGGGAGACGAAAUGCGACCAGCCUGGACUGAGGUCCGCGCUUCUGCUAGGAUGCUGGCGUAAUAGCUGUAAGCGGCCCGUCUUGAAACACGGACCAAGGAGUCUAACAUCUAUGCGAGUGUUUGGGUGUCAAGCCCGAGCGCGUAAUGAAAGUGAACGGAGGUGGGAACCCUUUGGGGUGCACCAUCGACCGAUCCUGAUGUCUUCGGAUGGAUUUGAGUAAGAGCAUAGCUGUUGGGACCCGAAAGAUGGUGAACUAUGCUUGAAUAGGGUGAAGCCAGAGGAAACUCUGGUGGAGGCUCGCAGCGGUUCUGACGUGCAAAUCGAUCGUCAAAUUUGGGCAUAGGGGCGAAAGACUAAUCGAACUAUCUAGUAGCUGGUUCCUGC